GUACGCCGGGCUCUUGAACAGGCCGCCUCCAUCUUGCCGCUUGGCAGCUGACAUGGCGGCGAGAAGACAGAAAGUUUCGUUAAGUUGAGUUUAAUUCGAUCCGAUACGGAAAUUCUGCCGUCCACUGACACUCUCCGCCCUUUGAACGCCGGAUGGAGAAGAUCCGCAAUAUCUGUUUUUAGGGGUACAGGCAGCUAUUCCUCUACACUUUUCUAGCUGGCAUGAAUUUUCGAGGUAAUCCUGUUUUUGCGAUUGUGCAAUUGAAUAGGCAAAUUGCGGGAGCGCGCAUACCUAUGAAAAGCUCAUAUUCGCAGCAAAAAAAAACUGUUUUCAAGUUUGGCCCUUAAUGUAUUGGACAGAUGGAGAUCUACUUACAGGAAUCUACUUACAUUAUUUUUUCUUCUUUGGAUUCCAUCCUAAACAUCCAAUGCCAGCUCCCUCUUCUUCUGGAGAUCUCCGUGACACCCGGAAUAAGACACAACAUAAUCCUAUAUUAAUAGACCCCAGUGACCAAUAUCUCUUUUACUAUGAGGAGAUAAUGUCUACGUUUCUGCAUCUCCACCAAAACACCAGACACAAAGUAGGUACCUUCUCCAAAGCUUGCUCUCCGCCUCAUUGGUCCCUGUGUGUCUCUCAAUAAAUAAUUGUCACCUCAUA